rnacentral:tRNA from 1 species
GGAUUGUGGCUCAGUGGUACAGCACUUGCCUAGCAUAUGUGAGGCACUGGGUUCAAUUCUCAGCACCA